GUUAUAUGGUCAAGUGAAGAAGCGCAUACGGUGGAUGCCUUGGCAGUCAGAGGCGAUGAAAGACGUGGUAGCCUGCGAAAAGCUUCGGGGAGUCGGCAAACAGACUGUGAUCCGGAGAUGUCUGAAUGGGGGAACCCAGCCAUCAUAAGAUGGUUAUCUUGUACUGAAUACAUAGGUGCAAGAGGCGAACCAGGGGAACUGAAACAUCUAAGUACCCUGAGGAAAAGAAAUCAACCGAGAUUCCCUUAGUAGUGGCGAGCGAACGGGGACCAGCCCUUAAGUUGUAUUGAGAUUAGCGGAACGUUCUGGAAAGGACGGCCAUAGUGGGUGAUAGCCCUGUACGCGAAAAUCCCUUUGCAAUGAAAUCGAGUAGGACGGGGCACGAGAAACCUUGUCUGAAUAUGGGGGGACCAUCCUCCAAGGCUAAAUACUACUGACUGACCGAUAGUGAACCAGUACCGUGAGGGAAAGGCGAAAAGAACCGCGGAGAGCGGAGUGAAAUAGAUCCUGAAACCGUAUGCGUACAAGCAGUGGGAGCCCACUUUGUUGGGUGACUGCGUACCUUUUGUAUAAUGGGUCAGCGACUUAUUUUCAGUGGCGAGCUUAACCGAAUAGGGGAGGCGUAGCGAAAGCGAGUCUUAAUAGGGCGUCUAGUCGCUGGGAAUAGACCCGAAACCGGGCGAUCUAUCCAUGGGCAGGUUGAAGGUUGGGUAACACUAACUGGAGGACCGAACCGACUACCGUUGAAAAGUUAGCGGAUGACCUGUGGAUCGGAGUGAAAGGCUAAUCAAGCUCGGAGAUAGCUGGUUCUCCUCGAAAGCUAUUUAGGUAGCGCCUCAUGUAUCACUGUAGGGGGUAGAGCACUGUUUCGGCUAGGGGGUCAUCCCGACUUACCAAACCGAUGCAAACUCCGAAUACCUACAAGUGCCGAGCAUGGGAGACACACGGCGGGUGCUAACGUCCGUCGUGAAAAGGGAAACAACCCAGACCGUCAGCUAAGGUCCCAAAGUCAUGGUUAAGUGGGAAACGAUGUGGGAAGGCUUAGACAGCUAGGAGGUUGGCUUAGAAGCAGCCACCCUUUAAAGAAAGCGUAAUAGCUCACUAGUCGAGUCGGCCUGCGCGGAAGAUGUAACGGGGCUCAAACCAUGCACCGAAGCUACGGGUAUCAUCUUAGGAUGAUGCGGUAGAGGAGCGUUCUGUAAGCCUGUGAAGGUGAGUUGAGAAGCUUGCUGGAGGUAUCAGAAGUGCGAAUGCUGACAUGAGUAACGACAAUGGGUGUGAAAAACACCCACGCCGAAAGACCAAGGUUUCCUGCGCAACGUUAAUCGACGCAGGGUUAGUCGGUCCCUAAGGCGAGGCUGAAAAGCGUAGUCGAUGGAAAACAGGUUAAUAUUCCUGUACUUCUGGUUAUUGCGAUGGAGGGACGGAGAAGGCUAGGCCAGCCUGGCGUUGGUAGUCCAGGUUUAAGGUGGUAGGCUGAGAUCUUAGGUAAAUCCGGGAUCUUAAGGCCGAGAGCUGAUGACGAGUGUUCUUUUAGAACAUGAAGUGGUUGAUGCCAUGCUUCCAAGAAAAGCUUCUAAGCUUCAGGUAACCAGGAACCGUACCCCAAACCGACACAGGUGGUUGGGUAGAGAAUACCAAGGCGCUUGAGAGAACUCGGGUGAAGGAACUAGGCAAAAUGGCACCGUAACUUCGGGAGAAGGUGCGCCGGUGGAGGUGAAGCAUUUACUGCGUAAGCCCCUGCCGGUCGAAGAUACCAGGCCGCUGCGACUGUUUAUUAAAAACACAGCACUCUGCAAACACGAAAGUGGACGUAUAGGGUGUGACGCCUGCCCGGUGCCGGAAGGUUAAUUGAUGGGGUUAGCGCAAGCGAAGCUCUUGAUCGAAGCCCCGGUAAACGGCGGCCGUAACUAUAACGGUCCUAAGGUAGCGAAAUUCCUUGUCGGGUAAGUUCCGACCUGCACGAAUGGCGUAACGAUGGCGGCGCUGUCUCCACCCGAGACUCAGUGAAAUUGAAAUCGCUGUGAAGAUGCAGUGUAUCCGCGGCUAGACGGAAAGACCCCGUGAACCUUUACUAUAGCUUUGCACUGGACUUUGAAUUUGCUUGUGUAGGAUAGGUGGGAGGCUUUGAAGCGUGGACGCCAGUCUGCGUGGAGCCAACCUUGAAAUACCACCCUGGCAACUUUGAGGUUCUAACUCAGGUCCGUUAUCCGGAUCGAGGACAGUGUAUGGUGGGUAGUUUGACUGGGGCGGUCUCCUCCUAAAGAGUAACGGAGGAGUACGAAGGUGCGCUCAGACCGGUCGGAAAUCGGUCGUAGAGUAUAAAGGCAAAAGCGCGCUUGACUGCGAGACAGACACGUCGAGCAGGUACGAAAGUAGGUCUUAGUGAUCCGGUGGUUCUGUAUGGAAGGGCCAUCGCUCAACGGAUAAAAGGUACUCCGGGGAUAACAGGCUGAUACCGCCCAAGAGUUCAUAUCGACGGCGGUGUUUGGCACCUCGAUGUCGGCUCAUCACAUCCUGGGGCUGAAGCCGGUCCCAAGGGUAUGGCUGUUCGCCAUUUAAAGUGGUACGCGAGCUGGGUUUAGAACGUCGUGAGACAGUUCGGUCCCUAUCUGCCGUGGACGUUUGAGAUUUGAGAGGGGCUGCUCCUAGUACGAGAGGACCGGAGUGGACGAACCUCUGGUGUUCCGGUUGUCACGCCAGUGGCAUUGCCGGGUAGCUAUGUUCGGAAAAGAUAACCGCUGAAAGCAUCUAAGCGGGAAACUUGCCUCAAGAUGAGAUCUCACUGGAACCUUGAGUUCCCUGAAGGGCCGUCGAAGACUACGACGUUGAUAGGUUGGGUGUGUAAGCGCUGUGAGGCGUUGAGCUAACCAAUACUAAUUGCCCGUGAGGCUUGACCAUAUAACACCCAAGCAAUU
rnacentral:rRNA from 1 species